UACGUAGGGUGCGAGCGUUGUCCGGAAUUACUGGGCGUAAAGAGCUCGUAGGUGGUUUGUCGCGUUGUUCGUGAAAACUCACAGCUUAACUGUGGGCGUGCGGGCGAUACGGGCAGACUGGAGUACUGCAGGGGAGACUGGAAUUCCUGGUGUAGCGGUGAAAUGCGUAGAUAUCAGGAGGAACACCGGUGGCGAAGGCGGCUCUCUGGGCCAACACUGACGCUCAUGCACGAAAGCGUGGGGAGCAAACAGG
rnacentral:rRNA from 1 species